rnacentral:rRNA from 1 species
UACGGGGGGAGCAAGCGUUGUUCGGAUUUACUGGGCGUAAAGGGCGCGUAGGCGGCGCAACAAGUCACUUGUGAAAUCUCCGGGCUUAACCCGGAGCGGCCAAGUGAUACUGUCGUGCUAGAGUGCGGAAGGGGCUACUGGAAUUCCAGGUGUAGCGGUGAAAUGCGUAGAUAUCUGGAGGAACACCGGUGGCGAAGGCGGCGUCCUGGACCAACACUGACACUGAUGAGCGAAAGCCAGGGGAGCAAACGGG